GUAUUAUUCAGCUAAUGUACGAAUGCUACAUUUCUCGUGUGGGAGAAUAUCGGACAUGGAAAGGGCUUGAAUUAUUCGAGUUACUCAAAUUGAAACUCGGGAAUAUAUUUCUAGCUGUUCGGAAUUCGCGGAAACAAAUGAUUGUUUUCGGCAUUACGGUAUUGAAUCAAUAUGAGAGAUACCAAUUUUUUCUUUUAACAAAUUCGAAUACCAGUCAGUUUAAAGGACUUUAGUUUGAAAUAGGGGCGGUAAUCCAUUCAUUUUAUCCAAUAAAUUUUUUUUGGGGGGG
rnacentral:lncRNA from 1 species